UAGGGAAUCUUCGGCAAUGGGGGCAACCCUGACCGAGCAACGCCGCGUGAGUGAAGAAGGUUUUCGGAUCGUAAAGCUCUGUUGUAAGAGAAGAACGUGUGUGAGAGUGCAAAGUUCACACAGUGACGGUAACUUACCAGAAAGGGACGGCUAACUACGUGCCAGCAGCCGCGGUAAUACGUAGAUCCCGAGCGUUGUCCGGAUUUAUUGGGCGUAAAGCGAGCGCAGGCGGUUUAAUAAGUCUGAAGUUAAAGGCAGUGGCUUAACCAUUGUUCGCUUUGGAAACUGUUAAACUUGAGUGCAGAAGGGGAGAGUGGAAUUCCAUGUGUAGCGGUGAAAUGCGUAGAUAUAUGGAGGAACACCGGUGGCGAAAGCGGCUCUCUGGUCUGUAACUGACGCUGAGGCUCGAAAGCGUGGGGAGCAAACAGG
rnacentral:rRNA from 1 species